rnacentral:rRNA from 1 species
UACGUAGGGUCCAAGCGUUAAUCGGAAUUACUGGGCGUAAAGCGUGCGCAGGCGGUCUCGCAAGUCCGAUGUGAAAUCCCCGGGCUUAACCUGGGAACUGCGUUGGAAACUUCGAGGCUUCGAGUGCGGCAGAGGGGGGUGGAAUUCCAUGUGUAGCAGUGAAAUGCGUAGAGAUAUGGAGGAACACCGAUGGCGAAGGCAGCCCCCUGGGUUGACACUGACGCUCAUGCACGAAAGCGUGGGGAGCAAACAGG